rnacentral:rRNA from 1 species
CUGCUGCCUUCCGUAGGAGUUUGGGCCGUGUCUCAGUCCCAAUGUGGCCGGUCGCCCUCUCAGGCCGGCUACUGAUCGUCGCCUUGGUGGGCCGUUACCUCACCAACUAGCUAAUCAGACGCGGGUCCAUCUCAUACCACCGGAGUUUUUCACACUCUGUCACUCGACAAUGUGCGCUUAUGCGGUUUUAGCAGUCAUUUCUAACUGUUAUCCCCCUGUAUGAGGCAGGUUACCCACGCGUUACUCACCGUCCG